GGGUUGUGAGGUUAAGCGACUAAGCGUACACGGUGGAUGCCCUGGCAGUCAGAGGCGAUGAAGGACGUGCUAAUCUGCGAAAAGCGUCGGUAAGGUGAUAUGAACCGUUAUAACCGGCGAUGUCCGAAUGGGGAAACCCAGUGCAAUUCGUUGCACUAUCGUUAACUGAAUACAUAGGUUAACGAGGCGAACCGGGGGAACUGAAACAUCUAAGUACCCCGAGGAAAAGAAAUCAACCGAGAUUCCCCCAGUAGCGGCGAGCGAACGGGGAGCAGCCCAGAGUCUGAAUCAGCUUGUGUGUUAGUGGAACGGUCUGGAAAGUCCGACGGUACAGGGUGAUAGUCCCGUACACCAAAAUGCACAGGUUGUGAACUCGAAGAGUAGGGCGGGACACGUGGUAUCCUGUCUGAAUAUGGGGGGACCAUCCUCCAAGGCUAAAUACUCCUGACUGACCGAUAGUGAACCAGUACCGUGAGGGAAAGGCGAAAAGAACCCCGGCGAGGGGAGUGAAAAAGAACCUGAAACCGUGUACGUACAAGCAGUGGGAGCACCUUCGGGUGUGACUGCGUACCUUUUGUAUAAUGGGUCAGCGACUUAUAUUCUGUAGCAAGGUUAACCGUAUAGGGGAGCCGCAGGGAAACCGAGUCUUAACUGGGCGUUAAGUUGCAGGGUAUAGACCCGAAACCCGGUGAUCUAGCCAUGGGCAGGUUGAAGGUUGGGUAACACUAACUGGAGGACCGAACCGACUAAUGUUGAAAAAUUAGCGGAUGACUUGUGGCUGGGGGUGAAAGGCCAAUCAAACCGGGAGAUAGCUGGUUCUCCCCGAAAGCUAUUUAGGUAGCGCCUCGUGAACUCAUCUUCGGGGGUAGAGCACUGUUUCGGCUAGGGGGUCAUCCCGACUUACCAACCCGAUGCAAACUACGAAUACCGAAGAAUGUUAUCACGGGAGACACACGGCGGGUGCUAACGUCCGUCGUGAAGAGGGAAACAACCCAGACCGCCAGCUAAGGUCCCAAAGUCAUGGUUAAGUGGGAAACGAUGUGGGAAGGCACAGACAGCCAGGAUGUUGGCUUAGAAGCAGCCAUCAUUUAAAGAAAGCGUAAUAGCUCACUGGUCGAGUCGGCCUGCGCGGAAGAUGUAACGGGGCUAAAC
rnacentral:rRNA from 1 species